UGUGAGAAGCCUUUGUAGUCUUGAGAUACUUUGUAUGCGUGACUGUAAAACUCUGAUGUCAAUCAAGCGUCCACCAUGUAUGCUAAAACAUUUGUGCAUGAGUUCGUAUAAUUGGUUGGAGAGAAUUUCAUUUGAUCCAGAUAUGUCUCCAAUCAGCAUACAUUUAGAUUCAUUCCGACCUUGGUCAUAUGAAAUAGAAGGGAUGGUGAAGAUCCAACCACUGGAAGGUGUUGACGAAAAGAUAUUAUCUACUUUGGGCUGGACUCACUUAUUAGAUGAUUUAAUCAUUAAAAGGCAAAUUGUAUCUUAUCCUGAUAUUAGAGGAUCACAGCAAUUUCAAAUCCAGAUGUGUUAUAAAUUUGGAAUAUUCAGCACAUUUUAUGGAGGGCAAUCAGCGAAGCUGCCAAAGUGUAGCAGGAGUAUACGUUGGAAGACACCAAGUAUAUCAUUUACAAUCCCUUCAUCUCCUGAUCACAAGCAGCAGCUCAGAGGUCUUAAUUUCUGCUACGUCAUGAGGAGGUUUUACGCUUGGUUUUACUUGCCAAUUAUCGAAAUAAGUAAUGUAACAAAAAACCACACCAGGGCAUACAAGCAUUGUAGUGAAGCACUCGGUGUAGGUGGGGAACAUAUUUAAGCCACUGGAUGUUUGGGAUGAAUGAAAUGGAACCUGGUGAUCAAGUAAUUAUUACCAUCACAAAAGAUAUUUGGUGGGCAUCUCAACUUGCAAUGAAUUGUGGGGUGGGGUUUGUUGUAUGAAGAAGAAGAAGAUGCGUUGGAAUAUUACAAGUCAUGGAAUCACAUCAUUGGUGGUGACCUUUCUUCUUUUCAGUUAGAAACCGGAGAAUACUUCCUGUAUCACCGUGGAGUUCUGCGAUGGGAUAACAAGAUUAAGUCACCUCUCGAAUAAAUACGAGCCCAUAAAAUAUAAAGAGGAGACCGUUCCUUUAGAGCUUUCUCAAAGAGGAAAAGUCCCAAGCCUCCUCCCAACACUGCAAAGCGACAACGAUUGUCCAAUUGAAGCAACUAGCAUCUAGAGGAAAUUAAAGCCCAAUAAGAAAGGUCAUAAUAAAAUAGUUGGUAGCAUUCUUUAACUUUUAUCAACUUCAUGUUUGUCCAACUUUAGUCCAUCAACCAUUUCUCUAUCACAUUUACGAUGAAAUAAUGAUAUGUCCAUUUUGAGUUCCAAAUUUCAUGGUCUUGGGAUAAAAGGAGUUACCAUAAUCUUGGAACAGACUCUUAGAAAUGGCAACAUUAAACAUAUAUAUCCAUGGAAAUGCCAAAUUUGGUAAUGUUUAGCUAGUUUGUUGUUUUUUAAUUAGGACAUCUCGAUCGGCUUACGUAGAGCUUGUAGGCUGGGGGCGUGUGCUUUUGCUUUUUUAGUUGUGGUUUUAUAGGUUAUGUAUCCUUAAUUUAAGUCAUGGAUUGUAUGUAUGAUUGUAAUCGGUUUGGUGAUGAAAAAGUUGU